UACGAAGGGGGCUAGCGUUGUUCGGAUUUACUGGGCGUAAAGCGCGCGUAGGCGGAUUCUUAAGUCAGAGGUGAAAUCCCAAGGCUCAACCUUGGAACUGCCUUUGAUACUGGGGAUCUUGAGUCCGGAAGAGGUGAGUGGAACUGCGAGUGUAGAGGUGAAAUGCGCAGAUAUCAGGAGGAACACCAAUUGCGAAGGCAGCUCGCUGGGACGGUACUGACGCUGAGACGCGAAAGCGUGGGGAGCAAACAGG
rnacentral:rRNA from 1 species